rnacentral:rRNA from 1 species
GACGAACGCUGGCGGCGUGCUUAACACAUGCAAGUCGAACGGAAAGGCCCUGCUUGCAGGGUGCUCGAGUGGCGAACGGGUGAGUAACACGUGGGUGAUCUGCCCCUUACUUUGGGAUAAGCCUGGGAAACUGGGUCUAAUACUGGAUAGGACCAUGCUGUAGGUGGUGUGGUGGAAAGAUUAGUUUCGGUAAGGGAUGAGCGCGCGGCCUAUCAGCUUGUUGGUGGGGUAAUGGCCUACCAAGGCGUCGACGAGUAGCCGGCCUGAGAGGGUGGACGGCCACAUUGGGACUGAGAGACGGCCCAGACGCCUACGGGAGGCAGCAGAGGGGAAGAGGGCAAAAUGGGCGCAAGCCUGAUGCAGCGACGCCGCGAGGGGGAUGACGGCCUGCGGGUUGUAAGCUCCUUUCAGCCAUGACGAAGCCCUUGUGGUGACGGUAGUGGUAGAAGAAGCACCGGCUAACUACGUG